GCGAGAGUAGCUAAGCCAGGUCAACGGCGCUGCAUUUAGGGUGCAGUCAUCAGGUGUUCAAGGGUUCGAAUCCCUUCUCUCGCA
rnacentral:tRNA from 1 species